rnacentral:rRNA from 1 species
UACGGAGGUGGCUAGCGUUGUUCGGAAUUACUGGGCGUAAAGCGCACGUAGGCGGCUUUGUAAGUUAGAGGUGAAAGCCUGGAGCUCAACUCCAGAAUUGCAUGUAAGACUGCAUCGCUUGAGUGCAGGAGAGGUGAGUGGAAUUCCGGGUGUAGAGGUGAAAUUCGUAGAUAUUCGGAAGAACACCAGUGGCGAAGGCGGCUCGCUGGACUGGUAUUGACGCUGAGGUGCGAAAGCGUGGGGAGCAAACAGG